CCUACGGGAGGCAGCAGUGGGGAAUAUUGGACAAUGGGCGAAAGCCUGAUCCAGCCAUGCCGCGUGUGUGAAGAAGGCCUUCGGGUUGUAAAGCACUUUCAGUGGGGAAGAAAGCCUUGGGGCUAAUACCCUCGAGGAAGGACAUCACCCACAGAAGAAGCACCGGCUAACUCCGUGCCAGCAGCCGCGGUAAUACGGAGGGUGCGAGCGUUAAUCGGAAUUACUGGGCGUAAAGCGCGCGUAGGCGGUCUGAUAAGCCGGUUGUGAAAGCCCCGGGCUCAACCUGGGAACGGCAUCCGGAACUGUCAGGCUAGAGUGCAGGAGAGGAAGGUAGAAUUCCCGGUGUAGCGGUGAAAUGCGUAGAGAUCGGGAGGAACACCAGUGGCGAAGGCGGCCUUCUGGACUGACACUGACGCUGAGGUGCGAAAGCGUGGGUAGCAAACAGGAUUAGAUACCCGUGUAGUC
rnacentral:rRNA from 1 species